rnacentral:tRNA from 1 species
GUGCCCGUAGCUCAGCUGGAUAGAGUGUCUGACUACGAAUCAGAAGGUCGGGAGUUCGAAUCUCUCCGGGCACGCCA